UGUGGGAGCGAGCUUGCUCGCGAUGGCGGAGUGUCAGUCGAUAUCAAUGUGACUGAUCUGACGCUAUCGCGAGCAAGCUCGCUCCCACA
rnacentral:antisense_RNA from 1 species